GGCCGGGCAUGGGCGACGCGGGGCCGGCGCGGCGCUGAGCGGGGCCGGCGCGGCAGCAUGGAGGCCAUCUGGCUCUACCAGUUCCGCCUCAUCGUCAUCGGGGACUCCACCGUGGGCAAGUCGUGCCUCAUCCGCCGCUUCACCGAGGGCCGCUUCGCCCAGAUCUCCGACCCCACCGUGGGCGUGGACUUCUUCUCGCGCCUCGUGGAGAUCGAGCCGGGCAAGCGGAUCAAGCUGCAGAUCUGGGACACGGCCGGGCAGGAGCGGUUCCGGUCCAUCACCAGAGCCUACUACAGGAACUCGGUUGGCGGACUCCUCCUCUUUGACAUUACAAACCGCAGGUCCUUCCAGAACGUCCACGAGUGGCUAGAAGAGACAAAGGUGCACGUCCAACCGUACCAGAUUGUCUUUGUUUUGGUAGGUCACAAGUGCGACCUUGACACACAGCGGCAAGUCACCAGGCACGAGGCUGAGAAACUGGCUGCUGCAUAUGAGAGCACUAGAACUGGGAAGGAGAAGCACAGAACAGAAGUGUCUGAGUGGGUGAGAAGGAAAGCCACAAGAGACAAAAUAAGAGGAAAAUUUGUUUUCUUCCAUGUUUUAAUUUGACAAAGGAAGAUCCAUCUCAGGUUGGUCAUCAUAGGUUGGUAGCUUAGUUACAAAGGCCAUUUUCUGGGAACACCAUUCACUACUUGAGCUUUGCUUCUGCUAAGUUUUGACUUAAGCUUUUGAAGUGCAUGCCCCUGUAGCAAACCUGGGACGUUUUAACUUACUAAACAAACAAACAAAACCACUAUAGUGACAUCUGCUCAAGCUUGCAAGCUUUCACACAAGCCUGCUUAGGGGGGAGGGAUUAGGUGAAACCCCAAGAAGCAUCUGGUGUUCACUUUCAGCCCUCUAAGUAGGUAAGAGUAGAAUUCUUGCUUCUUUAAGCUAUGCCACCUAUGAAAGUAUGGGUAUCCUGGUUGCUAUUGCGCUGUCUGUUUCUUUGCUUGGACCUGUUCUAUGGUUUGCAGCACCUGAGCAGGUCUUUUUGGACAACAUCUGUGGUUUCUAUAUUAGAGCUGUUAAAACAAGCAAAAAAAAAAAAAGAAAAAAAAAAAAAGGUAACAGUUUUCGUGUUCUGGAAACAAUGCGAGUUCCUGGACUCUAUGGGCAAACAGCAGAGUUGUACUUGCUGGGAGGGCACUGGUGGCAGGGAGGAGUUGCAACAGUCCAGCGCAUUUUGGGAAGCUUGUCACUGCCAAGGACCCCUGGUCAAUCUGAAACUGGCUAUAAACACAUUGAAAAACCUUAUGCUAAGGCCCAUCAAAUUCCAGGCAGAGUCACUGGUGGUUGGGUUGAGUGUCCUGAAGGUACAAAAAAAAAUCUCUUUAUAAAAAAAAUCUCUUUCUAGGUAAGCAGAGCUGGAGAAGAUUGAUGCAGAGAGAGCCACGAGAGCUUGGCUACCGUGGGCUCUCUACCUGCAGCUUCUGCUGACGCCAGCGGAGAGCACAAGGUCUCUUCAAAUCAGGACCAUUAGUCUUGUUUUGACUAAUGCAAGGACAAACAGAUAGAAAAGGCGCAAGAGGGAUUUAGGGAAGUCGGAAGGUGACACCUUUCACAGGAUAAAGGUCAGGAGCUCUUUUACUCUAGGACAAAAAAAAGGAAAAAAAAAGAAAAAAAAAGCUAACUUUUUGUGGUCUUUACCACACAUUAAAAACAGUCUGCAUGCUAGAUGAUUGAAACUGCUCAGAACCUCCAAAAAAAGUAUACUAUAUGCCUUUCCUUGCUUUCUGUUAUGCACCGUAACAAAAUGUGAAAAUAAUGCUGUAUUUAGCUGUAUGUGAUUGAAAAUAUGCUUGUAUUUAGCAAAAUGGUUACUAUGUGAUAAUGUGAAAUUCAAAACUUGUAAAGAAACUUCAGUGUUUUUUUCCCCUUCUCCAUUCUUUAUCAGUAGCCAUCUAAUACCUGUACUACAGCAACCUUAACUGAAAAUCUGAUAUGGACUAGAUCAACAAUAAACAGCAGACACCCUUUGCAACAGUA